rnacentral:rRNA from 1 species
AACGAACGCUGGCGGCAGGCUUAACACAUGCAAGUCGAGCGCCCCGUAAGGGGAGCAGCAGACGGGUGAGUAACGCGUGGGAACGUACCUUUUGGUUCGGAACAACUCCGGGAAACUGGAGCUAAUACCGGAUAAGCCCUAACGGGGAAAGAUUUAUCGCCGAAAGAUCGGCCCGCGUCUGAUUAGCUAGUUGGUGAGGUAACGGCUCACCAAGGCGACGAUCAGUAGCUGGUCUGAGAGGAUGAUCAGCCACACUGGGACUGAGACACGGCCCAGACUCCUACGGGAGGCAGCAGUGGGGAAUAUUGGACAAUGGGCGCAAGCCUGAUCCAGCCAUGCCGCGUGAGUGAUGAAGGCCUUAGGGUUGUAAAGCUCUUUUGUCCGGGAAGAUAAUGACUGUACCGGAAGAAUAAGCCCCGGCUAACUUCGUG